rnacentral:lncRNA from 1 species
AUGGCUGAAGAACCCAGAGUAGAACAUCUAAGCCCUACUUCGGAGGCUUCUAACAUCUCAGCCACCUCGGAUGAUCUGCCACCAACAAAAAAAGAUGGCGUAGAAAAUCUUGACCGAAAAAUGAAAGAGAAAAUUGUCAUCGAUGAUUCUGAUGACGAUGAUACUCAACAACCACCGCCACCACCAGUCAUCAGCUCAUCGUCGUCGCCAUCACCAAGUUCUCGGCUCCGACUUGAUCUGAAGCUUUGCAACAACGAAUCUGCUCAUGGGUUAGGGUCGUCGUCGUCGAGGCUUGAACUCAGCCUGUUCAACCCUUCGAACCUGGGUUCUUCCAAUCCGGGCUCAUCAAACCCGGUCUCAGAGUACUCUCAACCCAACGAGACCACAGACGAGAACCCACGUGGCAGUGAUGACAAAAGAUCCCAACCUAGGGUUUUCACAUGCAACUUUUGCAAGAGGGAGUUCUCUACUUCUCAAGCAUUGGGAGGGCAUCAAAACGCUCACAAACAAGAGCGCGCCUUGGCCAAAAGGCGGCAAGGAGGACUUGAAAAUAUGGGAGGUGUCUUGGGACAUUCACCAUUUCCUUAUUACAACCCAUAUUCCAGUCUCUCAUCACCCUCUCUCUAUGGAUCUUUCAAUAGAUCUCUUGGGGUUAGGAUGGAUUCCAUGAUUCACAAGCCUUCUUAUCCAUGGUCCUCAACCCUCGGCUUCGGGCGGUUCGGCCCUAGCUCUGAGGCAUGGUCAUCUAGGGCAGGUAGCCUCUUGAACUUCCAAUCCACUAUUGAUAGGCUCAACCUAGACGGCCUUCAUGAUAAUGCUCCCAAUGGAAUAUCAGGGCUUCCAGGACCUAGUAGCGCUUCAAGGUUUGAUAAGGAAAUCGGUGUUGUUGGCAACUUUGGUGGUUCGAGUUCGAAUUCUGAAAUCAACAGGCCAAUCCUUGGUGAUCUCCGCCGAGAGCCUCCAACAUCCGAUACUGAUGCUGCUGGCCUAGAUCUGUCUCUUAAGCUUUAG